UACGUAGGGACCAAGCGUUGUUCGGAUUUACUGGGCGUAAAGGGCGCGUAGGCGGCAAUUCAAGUCAGCUGUGAAAUCUCCGAGCUUAACUCGGAACGGUCAUCUGAUACUGUUUUGCUAGAGUGCAGAAAGGGCAAUCGGAAUUCUUGGUGUAGCGGUGAAAUGCGUAGAUAUCAAGAGGAACACCUGAGGUGAAGACGGGUUGCUGGGCUGACACUGACGCUGAGGCGCGAAAGCCAGGGGAGCAAACGGG
rnacentral:rRNA from 1 species